rnacentral:rRNA from 1 species
UGGGCAAAGCCUGACGCAGCGACGCCGCGUGGGGGAUGAAGCUUUUCGGAGCGUAAACCCCUUUCGACCCGGACGAAUGCCCGCAAGGGUUUGACGGUACGGGUAGAAGAAGCCCCGGCUAACUACGUGCCAGCAGCCGCGGUAAAACGUAGGGGGCCAGCGUUGCUCGGAAUUACUGGGCGUAAAGGGUCUGUAGGCGGUGCGGCAAGUCGGAAGUGAAAUCGCAGGGCUCAACUCUGCGGCUGCUCCCGAAACUGCCGUGCUCGAGUGCGAGAUAGGCGAGUGGAAUUGCAGGUGUAGCGGUGAAAUGCGUAGAUAUCUGCAGGAACAUCCGAGGCGAAAGCGGCUCGCUGGAUCGCAACUGACGCUGAGAGACGAAAGCUAGGGGAGCAAACAGGAUUAGAUACCCUGGUAGUCCUAGCCCUAAACGAUCAGGACUUGGCGUGGGCCCUGUACGGGGCUCGUGCCGUAGCUAACGCGAUAAGUCCUGCGCCUGGGGAGUACGGUCGCAAGGCUGAAACUCAAAAAAAUUGACGGA